GAUUAACGCUGGCGGCGUGCAUAACACAUGCAAGUCGAACGAUGAAACUUAAAUGAUUUCUUCGGAAUGAACUUAAGUGGAUUAGUGGCGGACGGGUGAGUAACGCGUGAGUAACCUGCCUUACACAAGGGGAUAGCCGUUGGAAACGACGAAUAAUACCCUAUGAAACUAUCACUUCGCAUGAAGCGAUAGUCAAAGUGUUAGCGGUGUAAGAUGGACUUGCGUCUGAUUAGCUAGUUGGUGAGAAAAAAGCCCACCAAGGCAACGAUCAGUAGCCGGCUUGAGAGAGUGUACGGCCACAUUGGGACUGGGACACGGCCCAGACUCCUACGAGAGGCAGCAGUGAGGAAUUAUGCACAAUGGGGGAAACCCUGAUGCAGCGACGCCGCGUGAUUUAGAAGGCCUUCGGGUUGUAAAAAUCUUUUGUAUAGGAAGAAAAUGACAGUACUAUACGAAUAAGGUCCGGCUAAUUACGUG
rnacentral:rRNA from 1 species